UCUUCCUCUCAUCUCUCAUCUCUCAUCUCUCAUCUCAUAUCAUUGUUAUCAAUCUCACUCUACCCGUACCCAUUUGGAAAUCACUUCAUUCUCUACCACACCACAAAUUUUAUUGAAUUUCCGUAAGAACAACAUCGUGGAUGAACUGUUCGUUUGUUGGUUCCGUAAGGUGCGCAUUGAAAGAGCAGAGAAGAACACCCAGAGCAGAGAAGAACACCUACUCUGCACACCGCCAUAGCAGCUUAAUGAUCCGAGCAACAAACUUCGACAACCAUGGCGAUACAGAGAGCUUUCAUAAGAAACAAUCUAACUACUACGGCAAAAAAGAAAAAAUAAAAGAAAAAGAAAAGAAGGAAUACAACUCAAUAUCUACUCUAGAAACAUUCCUAGAUGCACAUGCAGACGGUUGAUGAAGUAUAAAAUCUUCGUCGUCCAUGGUUGAUACAGACAGUGUUCUUAAGAUCCGGCCAAGAAGACAUAGAAAGAGUCAACACUGAGCUGGAUUGAGCAGUUGACUGAAGAAGCUGAGCCAGGUAAACCAAAGCUUCAAAGAUGGCUAGAUAAUUUUGGGGUGCAAUAUGGCAAAUAAGGUUGUGGUUUUUCUGUCCAUUUCAGUAAUUCAGUUGCUGUGAUUAGAACAUUUUAUUUUCAGGAGACCCUUCUUUAGUAACUUAGGUUAUUCAAAUGCUUUCCUGCUAGGAUUUUAAAAGAGUCGUUAUAAAGAUUAGUCUGAAAAAGAUAGCAAAA